rnacentral:rRNA from 1 species
GCGGUAUCUUGACCGUGCAAAGGUAGCAUAAUCAUUAGUUUCUUAAUUGGGAACUUGUAUGAAUGGUUGGACAAAGAAAAAUCUGUCUCUUGCACUGAAAUUGAAUUUAACUUCUAAGUGAAAAGGCUUAGAUUAUCCAGAGGGACGAUAAGACCCUAUAAAGCUUUAUAAAUUUAUUAAUUUCGUUUAUUUUUUAUUAUAAUAAUGAUGAUAAGAGAAUUUAUUUGGUUGGGGCAACCGAAGUAUAAUUUUAAAUAACUGCUAUAAUUUAAUACAAUGAUUUUUGUUUUAUACAAUAAUUGAUCCUCAAAGAGAUUAAAGACCAAGUUACUUUAGGGAUAACAGCGUAAUUUAUCCUGAGAGUUCUUAUCAAAGGAAAAGUUUGCGACCUCGAUG